AUUGGGAAAUGGUGACAAGUUAUUUUGAAUACACACUGAGAAAGUGGCAGGUUUUGCUGAUCAAUCUGUUUUUUGCACGUCAGUCUGAUCCCUAC
rfam:Capsicum annuum cultivar Zunla-1 chromosome 7, whole genome shotgun sequence